rnacentral:tRNA from 1 species
AUUUCUUUAGUAUAACUAGUACAACUGACUUCCAAUCAGUUAGCUCCAGAUCAACCUGGAAAGAAGUA